GGCCUAACACAUGCAAGUCGAACGGCAGCACGGGAGCAAUCCUGGUGGCGAGUGGCGAACGGGUGAGUAAUAUAUCGGAACGUGCCCAGUCGUGGGGGAUAACGCAGCGAAAGCUGUGCUAAUACCGCAUACGAUCUCUGGAUGAAAGCGGGGGACCUGCAAGGGCCUCGCGCGAUUGGAGCGGCCGAUAUCAGAUUAGCUAGUUGGCGGGGUAAAGGCCCACCAAGGCGACGACCUGUAGCUGGUCUGAGAGGACGACCAGCCACACUGGAACUGAGACACGGUCCAGACUCCUACGGGAGGCAGCAGUGGGGAAUUUUGGACAAUGGGCGCAAGCCUGAUCCAGCAAUGCCGCGUGCAGGAUGAAGGCCUUCGGGUUGUAAACUGCUUUUGUACGGAACGAAACGGUCCCUUCGAAUAAAGGGGGCUAAUGACGGUACCGUAAGAAUAAGCACCGGCUAACUACGUGCCAGCAGCCGCGGUAAUACGUAGGGUGCGAGCGUUAAUCGGAAUUACUGGGCGUAAAGCGUGCGCAGGCGGUGAUGUAAGACAGAUGUGAAAUCCCCGGGCUCAACCUGGGACCUGCAUUUGUGACUGCAUCGCUAGAGUACGGCAGAGGGGGAUGGAAUUCCGCGUGUAGCAGUGAAAUGCGUAGAUAUGCGGAGGAACACCGAUGGCGAAGGCAAUCCCCUGGGCCUGUACUGACGCUCAUGCACGAAAGCGUGGGGAGCAAACAGGAUUAGAUACCCUGGUAGUCCACGCCCUAAACGAUGUCAACUGGUUGUUGGGAAUUCACUUUCUCAGUAACGAAGCUAACGCGUGAAGUUGACCGCCUGGGGAGUACGGCCGCAAGGUUGAAAC
rnacentral:rRNA from 1 species